CGAGACAAUAAGGGCCUUGCACACAACAUAAUUACAGGAGCAGUAUUUGCAAGUAUUCUAUACUUUGUAUCCUUUAUAUUCUUAAAAAUCCCUCAGAUGCUGGUAUGGGAAUAAGGCUGGAAGCUUCUGAAUCAGUUUUCUGUGAACACAUGAGAGUGUCACUCCACUGCUAGAUUUUUUACCUCAACCAAAAACAUUGGAGCUGCAAAUGGAUUCAUUUCGUACUUUUCAUUGGCUAGAUAAAUGGAAAAGGCUCAGCUUAGAUUUU
rnacentral:misc_RNA from 1 species